UAGGGAAUCUUCCACAAUGGACGCAAGUCUGAUGGAGCAACGCCGCGUGGGUGAAGAAGGUCUUCGGAUCGUAAAACUCUGUUGUUAGAGAAGAACACGAGUGAGAGUAACUGUUCAUUCGAUGACGGUAUCUAACCAGCAAGUCACGGCUAACUACGUGCCAA
rnacentral:rRNA from 1 species